rnacentral:rRNA from 1 species
CCUACGGGAGGCAGCAGUGGGGAAUAUUGGACAAUGGGGGGAACCCUGAUCCAGCGACGCCGCGUGAGUGAAGAAGUAUUUCGGUAUGUAAAGCUCUAUCAGCAGGGAAGAAAAUGACGGUACCUGACUAAGAAGCCCCGGCUAACUACGUGCCAGCAGCCGCGGUAAUACGUAGGGGGCACGCGUUCUCCGGAUUUACUGGGUGUAAAGGGAGCGUAGACGGUGCAGCAAGUCUGAUGUGAAAGGUCGGGGCCCAACCCCGGGACUGCAUUGGAAACUGUUGAACUGGAGUGCAGGAGAGGUAAGCGGAAUUCCUAGUGUAGCGGUGAAAUGCGUAGAUAUUAGGAGGAACACCAGUGGCGAAGGCGGCUUACUGGACUGUAACUGACGUUGAGGCUCGAAAGCGUGGGGAGCAAACAGGAUUAGAUACCCCAGUAGUC